rnacentral:rRNA from 1 species
UACGUAGGGUGCGAGCGUUAAUCGGAAUUACUGGGUGUAAAGCGUGCGCAGGCGGUGAUGUAAGACAGAUGUGAAAUGCCCGGGCUUAACCUGGGAACUGCAUUUGUGACUGCAUGGCUAGAAUCUGGCAGAGGGGGGUAGAAUUCCACGUGUAGCAGUGAAAUGCGUAGAGAUGUGGAGGAACACCGAUGGCGAAGGCAGCCCCCUGGGUCAAGAUUGACGCUCAUGCACGAAAGCGUGGGGAGCAAACAGG